GACGAACGCCGGCGGCGUGCUUAACACAUGCAAGUCGAGCGGGCGUAGCAAUACGUCAGCGGCAGACGGGUGAGUAACACGUGGGCAACCUAUCCUGUCGUGGGGGACAACAUCGGGAAACCGGUGCUAAUACCGCGUAUGGUCACUGAUCGAUUGGUUGGUGAAGAAAGCAGCAAUGCGCGACAGGGUGGGCCCGCGGCCUAUCAGCUAGUCGGUGGGGUAACGGCCUACCGAGGCGAAGACGGGUAGCUGGUCUGAGAGGACGACCAGUCACACG
rnacentral:rRNA from 1 species